rnacentral:rRNA from 1 species
CCUACGGGUGGCAGCAGUGGGGAAUAUUGCACACUGGGGGGAACCCUGAUGCAGCGACGCCGCGUGAGUGAAGAAGUAUUUCGGUAUGUAAAGCUCUAUCAGCAGGAACGAGACAAGACGGUACCUGACUAAGAAGCCCCGGCUAACUACGUGCCAGCAGCCGCGGUAAUCCGUAGGGGGCAAGCGUUAUCCGGAAUCACUGGGUGUAAAGGGAGCGUAGACGGCGGAGCAAGCCUGAAGUGAAAGGCGGGGGCCCAACCCCCGGACUGCUUUGGGAACUGUACGGCUGGAGUGCAGGAGAGGUAAGUUGAAUUCCUAGUGUAGCGGUGAAAUGCGUAGAUAUUAGGAGGAACACCAGUGGCGAAGGCGGCUUACUGGACUGUAACUGACGUUGAGGCUCGAAAGCGUGGGGAGCAAACAGGAUUAGAUACCCCGGUAGUC